rnacentral:rRNA from 1 species
UUACAACAUACACAAAUAAUCGAUUAAUACAAAUCACUAUUUAAAAUUCAAAAACUUUGGCGGUAUCUUAUAAUAUUAGGGGAACAUGUUACUUAAUAUGAUAAUCCACGACAUAUCAUCCACCUUUUGUAUAUCAGCCUGUGUACUGCUGUCGCAAAUAAACCUAUAAAAGAUAGUUUAUAAUAUUAAUUUUAAUUAUUAAUGUCAAGUCAAUGUGCAGCUAAUAAGGUGGGGUAAAUGUGUUACAAUCUCAAUCAAAGAAUAUGGAAUAAUAGUAUUACAAUUAUUAUAAAAGUGGACUUAAUAGUACAUAUGAUGAUAAAUCACAUAUAACCAUUUCUCUAAGACUAUGCACACAUCGCCCGUCACUCUCGUCCAAAGACU